rnacentral:lncRNA from 1 species
AUCAUAACUCAUUUGCACGCUUUUGGUCAUAACUCAUUUGUACCCUUUUUGUCAUGGUCAAGAUCCAUUCGCAUCCUUUCGGUCAGGAUUAAUUUCACAUCCUUUCGGUCAAGAACCGUUCGCACCCUUUCGUUUAUGACAUUCACAGCCUUUCGGUCACAAUCCUUUUGUACAUUUUCGGUCAUAAUACAUUCACACC